GUUGGUGAACCAGCGGAGGGAUCAUUACAGAGCUCUCGCAAGAGACUCCCACAACCAUCGCGAACCUAUCCGUCAGCGUUGCUUCGGCGGUGCGGCCCCUCUGGGGUCCUCGGCCUCCCCUCGCCGGGAGGCGCCCGCCGGAGGGCCGAAAACUCUUCGUAUACCACACGUCUUAUGAACAAAAGCAAAUAAGUUAAAACUUUCAACAACGGAUCUCUUGGUUCUG
rnacentral:misc_RNA from 1 species